rnacentral:lncRNA from 1 species
GAUGCAAGCCCUGAUGGCCGAGGCGAAUGCAGCCAAGGCCAAGGUAGCGAUGGAGAAGGAGGCGGCCGAGGCCGCACUGAAGGCCAAGAACAGCAUGCCGGUGAUGCUGCGCGGCGCCAAGCUGAACAUUGCAGUCAAGCCUCCGGUGGCAGGGAACGCGCUCAGCGCGGCUGCAGCCAAGGCUGCGCAGCUACAGCAGCAGCAGCCGCCCGCCUCCAGUAGCACUGGAGCUGGGGAGAGCGCCACCCCCGGCGGACUUGCCAAAACAGGUGCUGCACCCGUCUGUUAACUCGCCAUUCAUCGCAUGCCCAUGCGGUCUCUAUGUGAUUCAAGCUGCCUAAUUGCAUGCCCGCGCAGUCUCCUUGUGGUUGAAGACGAUCAGGACAGGCAAACGUUCAGGGAUACAGAGAACACUGGUAUGGGGCGUUGCGCUAGAGGACAGCUCUGUGUUAAUGGCACGAGCAAAGGAGCCAAAAGAAAAUCAACCUGCAUGUCAGUGAGACUGGUCUCUUGAGGAUGAUUGUGGUAUCCAGGCUCCGGCAAGACGCUUUUUCUGCCGCCCACAAUAACGAUGGCGAUGGCAAAGCCAGUGACACCUGCG